rnacentral:rRNA from 1 species
ACGUAGGGUGCAAGCGUUAAUCGGAAUUACUGGGCGUAAAGCGUGCGCAGGCGGUUUGCUAAGUCGGGUGUGAAAUCCCCGGGCUUAACCUGGGAACUGCACUCGAAGCUGGCAGGCUAGAGUCUUGCAGAGGGGGGUAGAAUUCCAGGUGUAGCGGUGAAAUGCGUAGAGAUCUGGAGGAAUACCGAUGGCGAAGGCGGCCCCCUGGGCAAAGACUGACGCUCAGGUGCGAAAGCGUGGGGAGCAAACAG